CCUGAGUACGACGGAGCACGUGAAAUUCCGUCGGAAUCUGGGAGGACCAUCUCCUAAGGCUAAAUACUCUCUAGUGACCGAUAGUGAACCAGUACCGUGAGGGAAAGGUGAAAAGUACCCCGGAAGGGGAGUGAAAGAGAACUUGAAACCGUGUGCUUACAAGUAGUCAGAGCCCGUUAAUGGGUGAUGGCGUGCCUUUUGUAGAAUGAACCGGCGAGUUACGAUCUGAUGCAAGGUUAAGCAGAAAAUGUGGAGCCGUAGCGAAAGCGAGUCUGAAUAGGGCGAAUGAGUAUUUGGUCGUAGACCCGAAACCAGGUGAUCUACCCUUGGUCAGGUUGAAGU
rnacentral:rRNA from 1 species